AAGACCACAAACUUCGAGGACGAGUGAAGGCGACAACAACGGAGCAUUACGUGUGUGUGUGUGUGUGUCACCUUCCUCCACCCCUAUCACUUCUCUUCUUUUUUUUGCUGCACCUCUCACACUGCGAAAUGUCCGCUGUGAAGGUGGCCGUGACGGGUGCAGCGGGCCAGAUCGGCUAUGCAUUGGUACCGCUGAUCGCGCGCGGUGUCCUCCUCGGGCCCACCACGCAUGUGGAGCUCCGCCUGCUGGAUAUCGAGCCCGCCCUAAAGGCGCUUGCCGGCGUCGAAGCAGAGCUCGAAGAUUGCGCUUUUCCUCUCCUUGAGAAGGUUGUCAUUACGGCAGACCCGCGUGCUGCCUUCGACGGGGUCGCCAUUGCCAUCAUGUGCGGCGCCUUCCCGCGCAAGGCAGGGAUGGAACGCAAGGACCUCCUCGAGAUGAACGCGCGCAUCUUCAAGGAGCAGGGUGAGGCUAUCGCUGCCGUGGCAGCGCCAGACUGCCGCGUGGUGGUUGUCGGCAAUCCGGCCAACACCAACGCUCUCAUCCUCCUCAAGUCAGCUCAGGGGAAGUUGAAUCCCCGUCAUGUGACCGCCAUGACCCGCCUCGACCACAACCGUGCCUUGUCUCUUCUGGCUCGCAAGGCCGGUGUGCCGGUGUCGCAGGUGCGCAACGUGAUCAUCUGGGGCAACCAUAGCUCUACACAGGUCCCCGACAUUGACAACGCUGUGAUCGGCACCACUCCGGCCCGCGAAGCGAUCAAGGGCGGUGCCCUCAACGACGACUUUGUGCAAGUGGUGCGCGGGCGCGGCGCCGAAAUCAUCCAACUACGCGGCCUUUCCUCAGCCAUGUCCGCCGCCAAGGCCGCCGUGGACCACGUACAUGACUGGAUACAUGGCACACCAGAGGGCGUGUACGUUUCGAUGGGCGUGUACUCGGAUGGAAACCCGUACGACGUGCCGAGCGGUCUCAUCUUCUCCUUUCCGUGCACGUGCCACGCCGGCGAGUGGACUGUUGUCUCGGGCAAGCUGAAUGGGGACCUCGGGAAGCAGCGUCUCGCCAGCACGAUCGCCGAGCUGCAGGAGGAGAGGGCGCAGGCAGGGCUAUGAGCCAGACAUCGUUGCACUCAUGUCAAGAGGUCGUGUGCUGACCCUCUUGCAGUUCAGUAGCGCUCGCGGUGCCGCCGCCCUUGUCCUCCUGUAUAUCUGCGAGUGUGGGAAGGGGAGCGGGAGGGGGAGGGGAAAAAUGGCGAGAAGGGCGACAUCGAAGUCAAACUUCUGCGCCCAUUCUCUGCGCAUCGCGUCAGCAAUCUUUAUACACUGCUGCAUCGGGACGACGCACCCGCUCGCGCAGAGAGCACAGCACGCAAACACGUCCGUGCGUGUGUGUGCGUUCUCCACUGUUUUUCUCAUCUUUGCUCUUUCUUGUGCUUUUACACGCGCUUUUUGUCGCUUUCCUUCCAGUGUCGGACCCCCUCCCCUCAUGACAGUGGUGGGGGAGGGGGACACCUCAGCGUGGCACCUCAGGGUAUUGCACACCCCCUACCCUAUCUCAGGGCAGAAGCGACGCAGCUCCCACCUAUCCAAUGCCGAUGCCGAGCAAGCCUCUGGUGGUGACAAGGCUAGGCACCUACGACUUGGGGGGAGGUCAGCGCGAUGUAUCGCCACUGAUGUCGGCGGUGAGGUUCUGGAUGGCGUUGCAUUGUGGGGCGACCUGCGACUGUGAACACGCUUGUGCCGUCCAUAUGAUAGGCAAAGUGCCCGAAUGACUGGAACGUAGUCCGCCGGGCCCUCACUGCCUCCUGGCGGGGUAAGCCUGGGACACCAUGAGGGGGGAUGCACCAGGUGGUGACCGGCACGAUGGGAGAGGUCGUGAGGUGACGUGCAGUGCAGGGCUUGGUUAGCGUUUGAGUCAGGGGCCUUUCUCCGAGGACUGAGUCGGCAUUGCUGUAAUGCGUGCCUACGGUAGCUUCGCACCUCUGGAUAUGCCGGGUCAAGCUGAGUUUGACCUCUGUGCUACAUGGCAGAGAAUGAGCACGUGAAGAGGUAAAAGUGCCCUCCUCUACCGAGCGAGAGUGUGAGGGUGGGGUGGUCGGGGCAGAGGGGAGGAGGUUAUGGGAAGCGAGGGGACGGGGCAUAUGCGGGCGUGGGAAGGCAAAGGGGGGGGGCCUGUGAUCCACAUCACUCGUAAGCCGUGCACGACGGACAAAGGCACCGGGAUACUCACGCUAGCGGUGCCGCACCGCCCACGUCCUCUCUCGAGCUCCCGCCCCCCCCUCCCCGCUCUGCCCUCCAUUCGUUCAUCUGUCAUUUGCCAGCGAACUCCGUGAUGAGACAUGUAUAGACAACAGAACCCGCGUCAUGGGCAGCACAGAGACAUGAGUGGCAGCUGCGAGCGCCUCGCUACACACCCAUGAGGAGAACGACCCCUUCCUUUAGGCAAGUGCGAUGGCAGGGGGGAGGCUUGUUGUGCAGCAACAUAGUCGAUAUUUUGAGGCUCCCACGGAGCUACCAAUGCGCGUGCUCCGCGUCUUGUGUGGCUGGCAGACAAUGAAGCAUCUCUAGCGUGCUGAAGACUGCAGUAUUCGCACCGAGAGACGAGAGUGCAGUGCUGUUGUGUGUAUGCGUGCACCUGUUGGAUGUUGGUGCCGUACCAGGCCGGCUCAUCGCACCCAAGGCACACUGUACGUGUCUAUGCUCACACUGCCGCAGUCGCUGUGGGCGUGUUGUCUUCUGCAUCGAAAUGUACUGUUACUCGCUUUCCAUCUCACACAUACGAACGCACACGCACGCACACGUCUUCUGCGAUGCACAUCGCUGCAUGCCAUUUUGUUCCCGCCCCUCUGUCGUGCCUUGGUGCGGCUUCUCUAG
rnacentral:misc_RNA from 1 species